rnacentral:rRNA from 1 species
UACAGAGGAUGCAAGCGUUAUCCGGAAUGAUUGGGCGUAAAGCGUCUGUAGGUGGCUUUUUAAGUCCGCCGUCAAAUCCCAGGGCUCAACUCUGGACAGGCGGUGGAAACUACCAAGCUGGAGUACGGUAGGGCAGAGGGAAUUUCCGGUGGAGCGGUGAAAUGCGUAGAGAUCGGAAAGAACACCAACGGCGAAAAGCACUCUGCUGGGCCGACACUGACACUGGAGAGACGAAAGCUAGGGGAGCGAAAUGGG